rnacentral:rRNA from 1 species
AUUGAACGCUGGCGGCAGGCCUAACACAUGCAAGUCGAACGAGUGGCGGACGGGUGAGUAAUGUCUGGGAAACUGCCUGAUGGAGGGGGAUAACUACUGGAAACGGUAGCUAAUACCGCAUACCAUCAGAUGUGCCCAGAAGGGAGUAGCGUGUUGGUGGGGUAACGGCUCACCAAGGCGCCGAUCCCUAGCUGGUCUGAGAGGAUGACCAGCCACACGGGAACUGAGACACGGUCCAGAAUCCUACGGGAGGCAGCAGUGGGGAAUAUUGCACAAUGGGCGCAAGCCUGAUGCAGCCAUGCCGCGUGUAUGAUGAAGGCCUUCGGGUUGUAAAGUACUUUCAGCGGGGAGGCGUUACCCGCAGAAGAAGCACCGGCUAACUCCGUGCCAGCAGCCGCGGCGGUAAUUC